rnacentral:rRNA from 1 species
UCAGGCCUAACACAUGCAAGUCGAGCGGUAACAGGCAUUUUGAUUCAGCUUGCUGAAUCUCGCGCUGACGAGCGGCGGACGGGUGAGUAACGCGUAGGAAUCUACCUAGUAGAAGGGGAUAGCCCGGGGAAACUCGGAUUAAUACCGUAUACGUCCUUAGGGAGAAAGAGGGCUUAGCUUUGAUGCUCUCGCUAUUAGAUGAGCCUGCGUAAGAUUAGCUUGUUGGUGAGGUAAAGGCUCACCAAGGCUACGAUCUUUAGCUGGUCUGAGAGGACGAUCAGCCACAUUGGGACUGAGACACGGCCCAGACUCCUACGGGAGGCAGCAGUGGGGAAUAUUGGACAAUGGGCGCAAGCCUGAUCCAGCCAUACCGCGUGUGUGAAGAAGGCCUUCGGGUUGUAAAGCACUUUAAGUAAGGAAGAAAAGUAUAUUGUUAAUACCAAUGUACCGUGACAUUACUUACAGAAUAAGGACCGGCUAAUUCCGUGCCAGCAGCCGCGGUAAUACGGAAGGUCCAAGCGUUAAUCGGAAUUACUGGGCGUAAAGCGCGCGUAGGUGGUUUAUUAAGUUGGGUGUGAAAGCCCCGGGCUCAACCUGGGAACUGCAUCCAAAACUGAUUCACUAGAGCACGAAAGAGGGAGGUAGAAUUCACAGUGUAGCGGUGGAAUGCGUAGAUAUUGUGAAGAAUACCAAUGGCGAA